AUUGAACGCUGGCGGCAGGCUUAACACAUGCAAGUCGAACGGUAACAUGAAGAAGCUUGCUUCUUUGAUGACGAGUGGCGGACGGGUGAGUAAUGCUUGGGAAUCUAGCUUAUGGAGGGGGAUAACUACGGGAAACUGUAGCUAAUACCGCGUAGAAUCGGGAGAUGAAAGUGUGGGACCUUCGGGCCACAUGCCAUAGGAUGAGCCCAAGUGGGAUUAGGUAGUUGGUGAGGUAAAGGCUCACCAAGCCGACGAUCUCUAGCUGGUCUGAGAGGAUGACCAGCCACACUGGGACUGAGACACGGCCCAGACUCCUACGGGAGGCAGCAGUGGGGAAUAUUGCGCAAUGGGGGCAACCCUGACGCAGCCAUGCCGCGUGAAUGAAGAAGGCCUUCGGGUUGUAAAGUUCUUUCGGUAGCGAGGAAGGCAUUUAGUUUAAUAGACUAAGUG
rnacentral:rRNA from 1 species